GGGUCAAUGAUGAGGAUUUAUCCUGUUGAAGACAGAUGAUAACAUAAAAUCAAGCUUACUAGAAUUAUGAUGAUGCUG